CCUACGGGUGGCAGCAGUGAGGAAUAUUGGUCAAUGGACGAGAGUCUGAACCAGCCAAGUAGCGUGAAGGAUGACUGCCCUCUGGGUUGUAAACUUCUUUUAUAUGGGAAUAAAAUGUUCCACGUGUGGGAUUUUGUAUGUACCAUAUGAAUAAGGAUCGGCUAACUCCGCGCCAGCAGCCGCGGUAAUACGGAGGAUCCGAGUGUUAUCCGGAUUUACUGGGUUUAAAGGGAGCGUAGGUGGAUUGUUAAGUCAGUUGUGAAAGUUUGCGGCUCAACCGGAAAAUUGCAGUUGAUACUGGCAGGCUUGAGUACAGUAGAGGUGGGUGGAAUGCGUGGUGUAGCGGUGAAAUGCUUAGAAAUCACGAAGAACUCCGAUUGCGAAGGCAGUUCACUGGACUGCAACUGACACUGAGGGUCGAAAGUGUGGGUAUCAAACAGGAUUAGGUACCCGAGUAGUC
rnacentral:rRNA from 1 species